UUGACUCGCUUUGGCACAUAUACUAAAUUUGGAAUGAUACAGAGAUUAGCAUGGCCCCUGCGCCAAAUGUAGGAAGAAGAGCUAAACAGACACUUGCUCAAAGAAAAU
rnacentral:snRNA from 1 species